CAGGAUGAGGAGAGCCAUUUAGUCCCUGGCAGGACCUGCCCAAGUGUCAGAUUUUCCACUUGCUCAUUUGUUUGGGCCCUGAGUAUGCUCCAUGGUUGCCAGCUGGGGAUGAGGUGCUCAUCACUGGAGGUGUUCAAGGGUAGGUGGACCAGUUUGAAAGCACGCAUUAUUUACCGGUCAUGCAUUCAGCCUGCUGUGGUUUGCUGCAUGAGUCCAGGGGGUAGGCUGGGUACACAGGAC
rnacentral:lncRNA from 10 species